AACGAACGCUGGCGGCAUGCCUAACACAUGCAAGUCGAACGAGACCUUCGGGUCUAGUGGCGCACGGGUGCGUAACGCGUGGGAACCUGCCCUUAGGUUCGGAAUAACUCCCCGAAAGGGGUGCUAAUACCGGAUAAUGUCUUCGGACUAAAGAUUUAUCGCCUUUGGAUGGGCCCGCGUUGGAUUAGCUAGUUGGUAGGGUAAAAGCCUACCAAGGCGACGAUCCAUAGCUGGUCUGAGAGGAUGAUCAGCCACACUGAGACUGAGACACGGCCCAGACUCCUACGGGAGGCAGCAGUGGGGAAUAUUGGACAAUGGGCGAAAGCCUGAUCCAGCAAUGCCGCGUGAGUGAUGAAGGCCUUAGGGUUGUAAAGCUCUUUUACCCGGGAUGAUAAUGACAGUACCGGGAGAAUAAGCUCCGGCUAACUCCGUG
rnacentral:rRNA from 1 species